rnacentral:rRNA from 1 species
AUGAACGCUAGCGACAGGCCUAACACAUGCAAGUCGAGGGGCAGCGAAGAGGUAGCAAUACCUUUGCCGGCGACCGGCGCACGGGUGAGUAACACGUAUGCAAUCCACCUGUAACAGGGGGAUAACCCGGAGAAAUCCGGACUAAUACCCCAUAAUAUGGGCGCUCCGCAUGGAGAGCCCAUUAAAGAGAGCAAUUUUGGUUACAGACGAGCAUGCGCUCCAUUAGCCAGUUGGCGGGGUAACGGCCCACCAAAGCGACGAUGGAUAGGGGUUCUGAGAGGAAGGUCCCCCACAUUGGAACUGAGACACGGUCCAAACUCCUACGGGAGGCAGCAGUGAGGAAUAUUGGUCAAUGGUCGGCAGACUGAACCAGCCAAGUCGCGUGAGGGAAGACGGCCCUACGGGUUGUAAACCUCUUUUGUCGGAGAGUAAAGUACGCUACGUGUAGCGUAUUGCAAGUAUCCGAAGAAAAAGCAUCGGCUAACUCCGUGCCAGCAGCCGCGGUAAUACGGAGGAUGCGAGCGUUAUCCGGAUUUAUUGGGUUUAAAGGGUGCGUAGGCGGCACGCCAAGUCAGCGGUGAAAUUUCCGGGCUCAACCCGGAGUGUGCCGUUGAAACUGGCGAGCUAGAGUACACAAGAGGCAGGCGGAAUGCGUGGUGUAGCGGUGAAAUGCAUAGAUAUCACGCAGAACCCCGAUUGCGAAGGCAGCCUGCUAGGGUGAAACAGACGCUGAGGCACGAAAGCGUGGGUAUCGAACAGGAUUAGAUACCCUGGUAGUCCACGCAGUAAACGAUGAAUACUAACUGUUUGCGAUACAAUGUAAGCGGUACAGCGAAAGCGUUAAGUAUUCCACCUGGGGAGUACGCCGGCAACGGUGAAACUCAAAGGAAUUGACGGGGGCCCGCACAAGCGGAGGGACAUGUGGUUUAAUUCGAUGAUACGCGAGGAACCUUACCCGGGCUUGAAAGUUAGCGACGAUUCUUGAAAGAGGAUUUCCCUUCGGGGCGCGAAACUAGGUGCUGCAUGGUUGUCGUCAGCUCGUGCCGUGAGGUGUCGGCUUAAGUGCCAUAACGAGCGCAACCCCUAUGGACAGUUACUAACGGGUGAAGCCGAGGACUCUGUCGAGACUGCCGGCGCAAGCCGCGAGGAAGGUGGGGAUGACGUCAAAUCAGCACGGCCCUUACGUCCGGGGCGACACACGUGUUACAAUGGCAGGUACAGAAGGCAGCCAGUCAGCAAUGACGCGCGAAUCCCGAAAACCUGUCUCAGUUCGGAUUGGAGUCUGCAACCCGACUCCAUGAAGCUGGAUUCGCUAGUAAUCGCGCAUCAGCCAUGGCGCGGUGAAUACGUUCCCGGGCCUUGUACACACCGCCCGUCAAGCCAUGGAAGCCGGGAGUACCUGAAGCAUGCAACCGCAAGGAGCGUACGAAGGUAAUACCGGUAACUGGGGCU